UACGUAGGGGGCAAGCGUUGUCCGGAUUUAUUGGGCGUAAAGAGCGUGUAGGCGGCCAGGCAGGUCCGCUGUGAAAACUCGAGGCUCAACCUCGAGAGGUCGGUGGAAACCGUCUGGCUAGAGUCCGGAAGAGGAGAGUGGAAUUCCCGGUGUAGCGGUGAAAUGCGCAGAGAUGUGGAGGAACACCGAUGGCGAAGGCAGCCUCCUGGGCCAGCACUGACGCUCAUGCACGAAAGCGUGGGGAGCAAACAGG
rnacentral:rRNA from 1 species